rnacentral:lncRNA from 1 species
CAGGUGCUCUGCAAACCCCUAUCACUGUCCUGAGGGGCGGCUGUGCACACAUGUGGCCCUUUUAGAACCCUAAAUCAUUGGCACUGAAGGGAAGUCAUGGAACUCUUGAGGCAGUGACAUGGCUCAGCGGACAGAGCUCCAGGCCUGAAGAUAGGAGGUCCUGGGUUUGAGCUUGAAGUCAGACACCUCCUAACUGGGUGAUCCUGGACAAGUCACUUAACCUCUCGCCCUUCUGCCUUAGGGUUAUUUCUAAGAAAGAAAGUAAAGGUUUGGGGGGAAAAGUUAUACCAUGUAACCUUGUUUUGCAGCUGGGGAAACCGAGGCCCAGAGAUGGGGAGUGACGCACUUGAGGGUGUAAGUCCUGUGACACUGAGAUCAGUGCAGGAUGGCUGAGCCCCAGGACAGAGCUGUGCAGCAAGAAGGGCUGUGGGCAGUCGAGGAAAGACCACUGGACUGGACAUCUCUGGCCCUGGGUCCGUGCCCAGAUGGUGGACGCUCGCCAUCUGUCCUCAGGCCUCAGCAAGUUCUUUCUCAGGAUGUGGAUACAUUCUUUCUCCUGAGUCCUUCGGGAUUGUCCUGGAUCACUGCAGUGCUGCUAGUAGUAAAGUCAAUUACAUUUGAUUGUGCCACAAUGUAUCAGUCUCUGUGUACAAUGUUCUCCUGGUUCUGUUUAUUUCAAUCUGCAUCAGUUCAUGGAGGUUCGUCCAGUUCAUGUAGAAAUCCUUCAGUUCAUUGUUCCUUACAGCACAAUAG